rnacentral:rRNA from 1 species
ACUCCUACGGGAGGCAGCAGUGGGGAAUAUUGCACAAUGGGCGCAAGCCUGAUGCAGCCAUGCCGCGUGUGUGAAGAAGGCCUUCGGGUUGUAAAGCACUUUCAGUCGUGAGGAAGGUAGUGUAGUUAAUAGCUGCAUUACUUGACGUUAGCGACAGAAGAAGCACCGGCUAACUCCGUGCCAGCAGCCGCGGUAAUACGGAGGGUGCGAGCGUUAAUCGGAAUUACUGGGCGUAAAGCGCAUGCAGGUGGUUUGUUAAGUCAGAUGUGAAAGCCCGGGGCUCAACCUCGGAAUAGCAUUUGAAACUGGCAGACUAGAGUACUGUAGAGGGGGGUAGAAUUUCAGGUGUAGCGGUGAAAUGCGUAGAGAUCUGAAGGAAUACCGGUGGCGAAGGCGGCCCCCUGGACAGAUACUGACACUCAGAUGCGAAAGCGUGGGGAGCAAACAGGAUUAGAUACCCUGGUAGGAUAGCG